rnacentral:lncRNA from 1 species
GAGAUGUGUGGCCUGUGUCAGGGCUGGAAAUGAUGGCCCUGUGAUGGAAUCUCUCUAAGGAGACAGGGUGCCACCAGAGAAGAGAAGGAAUGGGUGAGUUGUGAGUUCUGGAUGGUGGCUGGACCUCUGGCAGGAUGUGUGGCAAGAGCUAGGUGGACUGGCCCACACGGAUCUUGCUGGCACACUACUCACCUGGGAAGCUCCUCCUGGAAAACGAGAUGCCUGUCAACAGCACUGCUGUGUCCUGGACCAGUGUUACCUACAUCACUGUGGAGAUUCUCAUCGGGCUCUGCGCCAUAGUGGGCAACGUGCUGGUCAUCUGGGUGGUCAAGCUGAACCCCAGCCUGCAGACCACCACCUUCUAUUUCAUUGUCUCCCUAGCCCUGGCUGACAUUGCUGUCGGGGUGCUGGUUAUGCCUCUGGCCAUUGUCAUCAGCCUGGGUGUCACAAUCCACUUUUAUAGCUGCCUUUUCAUGACCUGCUUGAUGCUGAUAUUCACCCACGCAUCCAUCAUGUCCUUGCUAGCCAUUGCUGUGGACCGAUACCUGCGGGUCAAGCUCACAGUCAGAUACAGAAGAGUCACCACGCAAAGAAGAAUAUGGUUGGCUCUGGGCCUUUGCUGGCUGGUGUCAUUCCUGGUGGGAUUGACCCCCAUGUUUGGCUGGAACAUGAAACUGAGCUCAGCAGACGAAAACCUCACCUUCCUACCCUGCCGAUUCCGUUCGGUCAUGAGGAUGGAUUACAUGGUCUACUUCAGCUUCUUCCUGUGGAUUCUCGUUCCCCUGGUUGUCAUGUGCGCCAUCUACUUUGAUAUCUUCUACAUCAUCCGGAACCGACUCAGCCAGAGCUUUUCUGGCUCCAAAGAGACAGGCGCAUUCUAUGGACGGGAGUUCAAGACAGCCAAGUCCCUGUUACUGGUUCUUUUCUUGUUUGCUUUGUGCUGGCUGCCUUUGUCCAUCAUCAACUGUAUCCUCUACUUUGAUGGGCAAGUGCCGCAGACUGUGCUGUACCUGGGGAUCCUGCUCUCCCACGCUAACUCCAUGAUGAACCCCAUCGUCUAUGCUUACAAAAUAAAGAAGUUCAAGGAAACCUAUCUCUUGAUCCUCAAAGCCUGUGUGAUCUGCCAGCCCUCUAAGUCCAUGGACCCAAGCACUGAGCAGACUUCUGAGUAGCUAUCCA